UACAGAGGUGGCAAGCGUUGUUCGGAAUUACUGGGCGUAAAGGGCGCGUAGGCGGCUCGACAAGUCCCGCGUGAAAGCCCCCGGCUCAACUGGGGAACUGCGCGGGAAACUGUCGGACUUGAGUUCGGGAGAGGGAAGCGGAAUUCCGGGUGUAGCGGUGAAAUGCGUAGAUAUCCGGAGGAACACCGGUGGCGAAGGCGGCUUCCUGGACCGACACUGACGCUGAGACGCGAAAGCGUGGGGAGCGAACAGG
rnacentral:rRNA from 1 species